rnacentral:misc_RNA from 1 species
GUAUUAAUUGCAUAUUAUUGCAAGAGACAUUCUACACUGUAUCGAGUUUGUGUGAAAACGCAAGCCCCCCGCCAAGGGGACCCACGCGGUGAUGCACAAAGGGGUGAGAUGGAUGUUUGAGAGCGCUCGGGCGUGCACGACCUUUUUUAAAGGGUCAGCGACAGCCCUCGCACCCCCGAUGUACGAUAAUGAUCCUUCCGCAGGUUCACCUACGGAAA